rnacentral:rRNA from 1 species
UAGGGAAUCUUCCACAAUGGACGCAAGUCUGAUGGAGCAACGCCGCGUGAGUGAAGAAGGGUUUCGGCUCGUAAAGCUCUGUUGUUAAAGAAGAACGUGGGCAAGAGUAACUGUUUACCCAGUGACGGUAUUUAACCAGAAAGCCACGGCUAACUACGUGCCAG